rnacentral:rRNA from 1 species
CAGUAGCCGCGGGAAUACAGAGGGUGCGAGCGUUAAUCGGAUUUACUGGGCGUAAAGCGUGCGUAGGCGGCUUUUUAAGUCGGAUGUGAAAUCCCUGAGCUUAACUUAGGAAUUGCAUUCGAUACUGGGAAGCUAGAGUAUGGGAGAGGAUGGUAGAAUUCCAGGUGUAGCGGUGAAAUGCGUAGAGAUCUGGAGGAAUACCGGUGGCGAAGGCGGCCCCCUGGACGAAGACUGACGCUCAGGUGCGAAAGCGUGGGGAGCAAACAGGAUUAGAUACCCCGGUAGUCCCUGUCUCUUAUAC